UACGAAGGGGGCUAGCGUUGCUCGGAAUCACUGGGCGUAAAGGGUGCGUAGGCGGGUCUUUAAGUCAGGGGUGAAAUCCUGGAGCUCAACUCCAGAACUGCCUUUGAUACUGAAGAUCUUGAGUUCGGGAGAGGUGAGUGGAACUCCGAGUGUAGAGGUGAAAUUCGUAGAUAUUCGGAAGAACACCAGUGGCGAAGGCGGCUCACUGGCCCGGUACUGACGCUGAGGUGCGAAAGCGUGGGGAGCAAACAGGG
rnacentral:rRNA from 1 species